ensembl:lncRNA
AUGGAGAAAAAGGGACUCAGGGUGCCUCUUCCCAGUCCCCACUCCCCCGCCAAAUUUCAGUCUCCUUUCACGUGUGUCACUUUGGGGGUGCAGUCAUCAGCUACUGAAAAUUGUGCCUAUAAAGAACCUAUUUCAGUUUACAUUGAAGAGAAGAAUGAUGAUGAAGACUGGGUUACAGUUUCACUUGCAUAAAUGUGGUGGGACACCAAGGCCACAGUGUCCUUAUUUAUAAAAUGUCUUGGCUUGGGAGGCCGAGACGGACGGAUCACGAGGUCAGGAGAUCGAGACCAUCCUGGCUGACACAGUGAAACCCCGUCUCUACUAAAAAAUACAAAAAAUAAAAUAAAAUAAAAUAAAAUAAAAUAAAAUAAAAUAAAAUGUCUUGCCAAUAGUAGAUUUUUGUUAUGCAAGAACAAUCUCAAGGUGUAAAAGCUAGGACACUUUGAAAACAUGAAUUCUCCAUUUAGUAAAAUUCUUUUACUUAAGAUCCUAUAAAGUUGGAGAGACUUCAGUUCAGUCAUGUGCACUGGAGAUGCUCAAGCUGGUUUUUGCCCAGAAAUAGAGGAGAAAUCUAGAAGAGGUGCUUGAUACAGUGUGUUGAUACAUUCUAGAAUUAUUGAAAUACCUUAAUAUUAAAAUGAGCCAUCAAAGGAUUCAUGCUCUCACCAUUGCCCUUCAGUAUUGCAUCUGACAAAAUUCUGAUUUUGUGAGUCUCUUUUGGAGGCUAACAAGGCUGGUGACAUUUUGGGAAAGGUAAAAAAUUCUUUUAUUGUUCUACUUUGUUUUAUAUUCUUCUUCCAAAUAAAACAUUGAUUGGAAAAAUUAAAGCAUUGUAUACUCUUUACUUAAUUGGUUCUAACAAUGCUUUUCAAUACAUCUGGUAUUGUUACCUUAGUAAUAAUGAAAGCACCUCAUGCUGUCAUUACUUGUUUUUUACAUAGACAUGCAAUAGGAAUAAAGGCUGUUUUUACAAUCCUGAGAAAAGCUUUGUCACCAAACAUAAAAGUCAUUGACAUUAUUUAAAGUACCCUCUGAAUUAUUGCAUGUUUUAAAAAAUGAUCAAGAAAUAGGGCAACCAAAAUAUAAAGUACAUUUUAUCAAAUAGAAGUUCACUGAUUUCCAAGGGUGCAGGAGUUAGUUAUUUAUUACGUGUGUGUGUGUGCGUGUGUGGUGAGAACACUUGAACUCUUUCUUAUCGAUUUCCAAGUAUACAAUAUGUUGUUAUGAACUGUAGUCACCAUGUUGUACAAUAGAUCUCUUGAAAUUAUUCCUCUGGUCUAACUGAAAUGUCAUAUCUAUUGACCAACAUCUCCCAAAGCCCCUCACCUCCAACUUCUGGUAACCAACAUUCUACUCUGUGUUUCCAUGAGUUCGACUUUUUUGCAUUCCACAUAUAAGUGAGAUAAUGCAGUAUGUCUCUUUCUGUGCCUGGCUUAUUUUACUUAACAUAAUGUCUCCAUGUUCAUCCCUAUUGUUGCAAAUCACAGUAUUUUUACUAUUUUUAAUGGCUGAAUAGUAUUCCCUUGUGUAUACAUACCAUAUUUUCUUCAUUCAUUUACUGAUGUACACUUACAUUAAUUCCAUAUCUUAGCUGUUGUGAAUAAUGCUGCAAUGCACAUGGGAGUUCAGAUGUAUCUUAGAAAUCCUUAUUUCGAUUCCUUUGAAUACUUACCCAGAAGUAGGAUUUCUGGAUCAUAUGAUAGUUCCAUUUUUAAUUU